GCGGGUAUAGUUUAGUGGUAAAACGACAGCUUCCCAAGCUGUAGUUGCGAGUUCGAUUCUCGCUACCCGCU
rnacentral:tRNA from 1 species